rnacentral:tRNA from 1 species
ACGGCGUUAGUUAAGGGGUAUAACAGUUGCCUUCCACGCGGUACAGCAACAAUGGGGGGUUCGAGUCCCUCACGCCGUA